AAAAAUAUAAAAAUCAAGAAAAAUACUUAGAAACAUUUUGAAAAUAUCCUGAAUCACACCAGUCACCUGAGAAUUUCGAUAUAAACAAAUCAUCAAAAUUUCACAUUUUUACGUGACUGCCCGAAAAAUAUCAAAAAUUUUAAUUCGUAAACGUCCGAAAAAUAUAAUAACAAAGAAAAAUACAUUAAAACAUCUCAAAAAAUUCUCGAAUAGCA
rnacentral:lncRNA from 1 species